AAAGAUUUUUGUCUCAAAGAUUUGAAACAAAAAAUCCAUACAAGAUCUCUAGAGAUCUCACCUAAAUCUCUAUAUAAAACACCCUCCAUCUUCUCCAAAUUAAAUCACAAACACACAGAACUCUUUACACUCAAAAUAUACACACAGAUAUUACUCUCCUCUCUCCCUUUGUCUGCAUAUCAAUUUACACACACACAAAACACAACACUGAGAUUUUUUUUACUCUCAUCUUCCCCAUAAUCUAUACUAUAACAAAUACCCACACAAAAUCAAACACCCACCCCCGCAUCCCUCGGUUCCCUCUUUCCAGGCGACACCCACCUUCUCCUCUUGACAACAAAACGGACCACCACCACCGUCCGGUGGUGGUGAGCGACAGCUGCAGAAACGGAGCGGGAGAGAGAGAGGCAAUGAAAGAGACAGAAGCGAGAGAGACGACGAGAUUGAUAGAUCGAGAGGAGAAAGAGAGUGACGGCGGAGAAGAAGCGGCGCCGCCGCUCAUGGCGGCGGCGGCAGUGGCGGUGGUUCGGGUCUCGGUCUGACGAAUUUCCGGCCAAAUUUGGGAAGACUUGCGAGUCUCGGCUCACCCACAGGUUGGUUCGGAUCGGACCUGGUCAAGUCUUGGAUGGUCAACAACAGUCAAAGUUUGGUCAACCGCUCGGGUCAACAGUGGGCAAGUUUGUUUUGGGUCAAGCAUGGAUCGGACGAGUCAGAUUCGCUCGUUUAACUCAGCGAGUCGACUCGGUCAAACCCGAGUCAACUCGGUCAGCACAGUCAAACCGAGUCAACUCAGUUGACCCGGUCAACUCAGUCUGCGGUUCGACGCGAGAGAUUUGGUAAAAAUUGACGACGUGUUUAAUAUUUACGUUAUAUUUUUUGUUUUAAUACUUACGUGACUAACGAGCUCAAACCCAUUUCGGAACAGUAUUUAGAAUAUUGUAGAAUGCACGCUAGCGAGUCUCGUCUUGGAAACGACAUCACGAAGUCGUAUAUAGCUUGCUUUGCACAUGAAUAUUCAGGUUGCUUUUCAUAGUUAUGGCAUGGUUGGAAUAGGAGAACCAUGUGGAGUCGAAUACUUAGUGGCGUUCAUUUUCUAAAAGACUUAACUUUUUUGCUUCCACUGUGCAAUGAAGAUACCAGUCCAGUCACGCCAAUGCUCUGAUAAUUUAGGGGUGUGACAGAUUGGUAUCAGAGCUAUAGGUUACAACGAAUAAGGUUUUCUGUAGGAUUACCUAGGCUCUAACCUCACUUUUCUCUGGGACUUAGACUAUUAAGACGUUGAAUACAUACAGAACGCAUAGUACUUGAAUAUGGUCUCCAACCGUUGCCGAAAAACAAACAGUCAAAGUUUUGUUUUCAAACAUACGCUAUUGUGGUGUUUUAUACAUGGUACACAAAAACAGUCGCAUACAGUACACAAAACUCUGAGAGUUUAGGAAAUAUGCAUUUAAGACCUUCGAAAACCAAUGUUGAAAUUCAUUAAAGGUCAUCACGUAGGAACCACGUUUAUUAACUUGGGAAAACGCCAUUAUUGUGUCAUCUAUGCUAUUUUUAACCAAGCAGGUAACCUACGCAAAACAAAGCACGGGCGUGCAAGAUUUCACGAAACUCAAUCUACAUGACGACAGAGAUUGAAGUACGUUACAUACGACUUUCGAGGAAGCGGCAGUUUGGCACGCGGUCCUGCAAACGACACGAGUCAUGCUAAGGAGAAGACGUAUGUCUCCGCAUUCCCCCUAACUCAAUAACGACGAAUACGUUAUGUCCGACAUUUCAUGGUAAAGUCACCCAACAACUGAUUAUCACAUGAAACCCCAGGUAAAGUCCUUGAAUUUCUUUAUUGAAAUUCCGACUUUUGCAUCUAGUGAGUAGAUUUUCGCAUCUCUACUCCUUUUAAUGGUCAUUGUAUCACGAUCAUUCUUUCAUUAUAGCGAAUAUUCAAUUGCUUCAUUCAUAUGUUA
rnacentral:lncRNA from 1 species